rnacentral:rRNA from 1 species
UACGUAGGUGGCAAGCGUUGUCCGGAUUUACUGGGCGUAAAGAGCGCGCAGGCGGUCGCUCAAGUCGCGUGUGAAAGCCCCCCGGCUCAACUGGGGAGGGUCACGCGAUACUGAUCGACUGGAAGGCAGGAGAGGGUAGUGGAAUUCCCGGUGUAGUGGUGAAAUGCGCAGAUAUCGGGAGGAACACCAGUAGCGAAGGCGGUUCUCUGGGACGGUACUGACGCUGAGACGCGAAAGCGUGGGGAGCGAACAGG